rnacentral:rRNA from 1 species
AGCGUACACGGUGGAUGCCCUGGCAGUCAGAGGCGAUGAAGGACGUGCUAAUCUGCGAUAAGCGUCGGUAAGGUGAUAUGAACCGUUAUAACCGGCGAUUUCCGAAUGGGGAAACCCAGUGUGUUUCGACACACUAUCAUUAACUGAAUCCAUAGGUUAAUGAGGCGAACCGGGGGAACUGAAACAUCUAAGUACCCCGAGGAAAAGAAAUCAACCGAGAUUCCCCCAGUAGCGGCGAGCGAACGGGGAGCAGCCCAGAGCCUGAAUCAGUGUGUGUGUUAGUGGAAGCGUCUGGAAAGGCGCGCGAUACAGGGUGACAGCCCCGUACACAAAAAUGCACAUGCUGUGAGCUCGAUGAGUAGGGCGGGACACGUGGUAUCCUGUCUGAAUAUGGGGGGACCAUCCUCCAAGGCUAAAUACUCCUGACUGACCGAUAGUGAACCAGUACCGUGAGGGAAAGGCGAAAAGAACCCCGGCGAGGGGAGUGAAAAAGAACCUGAAACCGUGUACGUACAAGCAGUGGGAGCACGCUUCGGCGUGUGACUGCGUACCUUUUGUAUAAUGGGUCAGCGACUUAUAUUCUGUAGCAAGGUUAACCGAAUAGGGGAGCCGAAGGGAAACCGAGUCUUAACUGGGCGUUAAGUUGCAGGGUAUAGACCCGAAACCCGGUGAUCUAGCCAUGGGCAGGUUGAAGGUUGGGUAACACUAACUGGAGGACUGAACCGACUAAUGUUGAAAAAUUAGCGGAUGACUUGUGGCUGGGGGUGAAAGGCCAAUCAAACCGGGAGAUAGCUGGUUCUCCCCGAAAGCUAUUUAGGUAGCGCCUCGUGAAUUCAUCUCCGGGGGUAGAGCACUGUUUCGGCAAGGGGGUCAUCCCGACUUACCAACCCGAUGCAAACUGCGAAUACCGGAGAAUGUUAUCACGGGAGACACACGGCGGGUGCUAACGUCCGUCGUGAAGAGGGAAACAACCCAGACCGCCAGCUAAGGUCCCAAAGUCAUGGUUAAGUGGGAAACGAUGUGGGAAGGCCCAGACAGCCAGGAUGUUGGCUUAGAAGCAGCCAUCAUUUAAAGAAAGCGUAAUAGCUCACUGGUCGAGUCGGCCUGCGCGGAAGAUGUAACGGGGCUAAACCAUGCACCGAAGCUGCGGCAGCGACGCUUAUGCGUUGUUGGGUAGGGGAGCGUUCUGUAAGCCUGCGAAGGUGUGCUGUGAGGCAUGCUGGAGGUAUCAGAAGUGCGAAUGCUGACAUAAGUAACGAUAAAGCGGGUGAAAAGCCCGCUCGCCGGAAGACCAAGGGUUCCUGUCCAACGUUAAUCGGGGCAGGGUGAGUCGACCCCUAAGGCGAGGCCGAAAGGCGUAGUCGAUGGGAAACAGGUUAAUAUUCCUGUACUUGGUGUUACUGCGAAGGGGGGACGGAGAAGGCUAUGUUGGCCGGGCGACGGUUGUCCCGGUUUAAGCGUGUAGGCUGGUUUUCCAGGCAAAUCCGGAAAAUCAAGGCUGAGGCGUGAUGACGAGGCACUACGGUGCUGAAGCAACAAAUGCCCUGCUUCCAGGAAAAGCCUCUAAGCAUCAGGUAACAUCAAAUCGUACCCCAAACCGACACAGGUGGUCAGGUAGAGAAUACCAAGGCGCUUGAGAGAACUCGGGUGAAGGAACUAGGCAAAAUGGUGCCGUAACUUCGGGAGAAGGCACGCUGAUAUGUAGGUGAGGUCCCUCGCGGAUGGAGCUGAAAUCAGUCGAAGAUACCAGCUGGCUGCAACUGUUUAUUAAAAACACAGCACUGUGCAAACACGAAAGUGGACGUAUACGGUGUGACGCCUGCCCGGUGCCGGAAGGUUAAUUGAUGGGGUUAGCGGUAACGCGAAGCUCUUGAUCGAAGCCCCGGUAAACGGCGGCCGUAACUAUAACGGUCCUAAGGUAGCGAAAUUCCUUGUCGGGUAAGUUCCGACCUGCACGAAUGGCGUAAUGAUGGCCAGGCUGUCUCCACCCGAGACUCAGUGAAAUUGAACUCGCUGUGAAGAUGCAGUGUACCCGCGGCAAGACGGAAAGACCCCGUGAACCUUUACUAUAGCUUGACACUGAACAUUGAGCCUUGAUGUGUAGGAUAGGUGGGAGGCUUAGAAGUGUGGACGCCAGUCUGCAUGGAGCCGACCUUGAAAUACCACCCUUUAAUGUUUGAUGUUCUAACGUUGACCCGUAAUCCGGGUUGCGGACAGUGUCUGGUGGGUAGUUUGACUGGGGCGGUCUCCUCCUAAAGAGUAACGGAGGAGCACGAAGGUUGGCUAAUCCUGGUCGGACAUCAGGAGGUUAGUGCAAUGGCAUAAGCCAGCUUGACUGCGAGCGUGACGGCGCGAGCAGGUGCGAAAGCAGGUCAUAGUGAUCCGGUGGUUCUGAAUGGAAGGGCCAUCGCUCAACGGAUAAAAGGUACUCCGGGGAUAACAGGCUGAUACCGCCCAAGAGUUCAUAUCGACGGCGGUGUUUGGCACCUCGAUGUCGGCUCAUCACAUCCUGGGGCUGAAGUAGGUCCCAAGGGUAUGGCUGUUCGCCAUUUAAAGUGGUACGCGAGCUGGGUUUAGAACGUCGUGAGACAGUUCGGUCCCUAUCUGCCGUGGGCGCUGGAGAACUGAGGGGGGCUGCUCCUAGUACGAGAGGACCGGAGUGGACGCAUCACUGGUGUUCGGGUUGUCAUGCCAAUGGCACUGCCCGGUAGCUAAAUGCGGAAGAGAUAAGUGCUGAAAGCAUCUAAGCACGAAACUUGCCCCGAGAUGAGUUCUCCCUGACUCCUUGA